CGAGCCGGGCGGGCGGCCGCGUGGAGUCCCUCACGGGACUUCCCGAGGAACGUCCGGGCUCCACAGGGCAGGGUGAUGGCUAACGGCCACCCGGGGUGACCCGCGGGACAGUGCCACAGAAAGCAGACCGCCGGAGGCUUCGGCCCCCGGUAAGGGUGAAACGGUGGUGUAAGAGACCACCAGUGCCCAGGGCGACCUGGGCAGCUAGGUAAACCCCACCCGGAGCAAGGUCAAGAGGGGCGCCGUGAAAAGCGCUCUGCGCGGACGUUCGAGGGCUGCCCGCCCGAGUCCGCGGGUAGACCGCUGGAGGCCGGUGGCAACACCGGCCCUAGAUGGAUGGCCGUCGCCGGAGGGCCCGCGAGGACCCUCCGGAACAGAACCCGGCGUACAGCCCGACUCGUCUG
rnacentral:RNase_P_RNA from 1 species